GGCGGCGUGGAUCAGACAUGCAAGUCGAACGAGGUUAGUCUGGUAGCAAUACUGGGCUGACCUAGUGGCGAACGGGUGCGUAACACGUGACCAACCUGCCUGAAAGUGGGGGAUAGCUCGGCGAAAGCCGGAUUAAUACCGCAUGUGAUCGCAAGAUUAAAGCAGCAAUGCGCUUUUAGAGGGGGUCGCGGCCUAUCAGCUAGUUGGUGAGGUAAAGGCUUACCAAGGCAGCGACGGGUAGCUGGUCUGAGAGGACGACCAGCCACACUGGAACUGAGACACGGUCCAGACACCUACGGGUGGCAGCAGUCGAGAAUUUUUCUCAAUGGGGGAAACCCUGAAGGAGCGACGCCGCGUGGAGGAUGAAGGCUUUCGGGUUGUAAACUCCUGUCAUCUGGGAACAAAACUCGCAAGAGCUUGAUAGUACCAGAAGAGGAAGAGACGGCUAACUCUGUGCCAGCAGCCGCGGUAAUACAGAGGUCUCAAGCGUUGUUCGGAUUCAUUGGGCGUAUAGGGCGCGUAAGCGGUGGGGUAAGUCUGGUGUGAAAUCUCGGAGCUCAACUUCGA
rnacentral:rRNA from 1 species